rnacentral:rRNA from 1 species
GAUGAACGCUGGCGGCGUGCUUAACACAUGCAAGUCGAACGGAAAGGCUCCUGCUUGCAGGGGUACUCGAGUGGCGAACGGGUGAGUAACACGUGGGUGAUCUGCCCUGCACUUCGGGAUAAGCCUGGGAAACUGGGUCUAAUACCGGAUAGGACGAUGGUUUGGAUGCCAUUGUGGAAAGUUUUUUCGGUGUGGGAUGAGCUCGCGGCCUAUCAGCUUGUUGGUGGGGUAAUGGCCUACCAAGGCGUCGACGGGUAGCCGGCCUGAGAGGGUGUACGGCCACAUUGGGACUGAGAUACGGCCCAGACUCCUACGGGAGGCAGCAGUGGGGAAUUUUGCACAAUGGGCGCAAGCCUGAUGCAGCGACGCCGCGUGGGGGAUGACGGCCUUCGGGUUGUAAACUCCUUUCGCUAGGGACGAAGCGCAAGUGACGGUACCUGGAGAAGAAGCACCGGCUAACUACGUG